UACGAGGGGUGCAAGCGUUGCUCGGAAUUAUUGGGCGUAAAGGGUAGGUAGGUGGUCUCAUUUGUCUGGGGUGAAAUCCUUGAGCUUAACUCAAGAAGUGCCCCAGAAACGGUGAGACUUGAGUACUGGAGAGGGUCGUGGAAUUCCCGGUGUAGCGGUGAAAUGCGUAGAGAUCGGGAGGAACACCAGCGGCGAAGGCGGCGACCUGGACAGUAACUGACACUGAGGAGCGAAAGCCAGGGGAGCAAACGGG
rnacentral:rRNA from 1 species